GUGCUUGCUUCGGCAGCAUAUAUACUAAAAUUGGAAAGAUGCAGGGAAGAUGCAUGGCCCCUGUGCAAGGAUGACAUGCAAAUUCGUGAAGCGUUCCAUAUUUUU